rnacentral:rRNA from 1 species
CAAGUCGAGUGCGCGGUUGUAGCAAUACAACUGGCGCACGGCGCACGGGUGCGUAACACGUGGGUAACCUGCCCUUUGGUGGGGAAUAACUCCGCGAAAGCGGAGCUAAUUCCGCAUAAGAUCCGCAAGGAUGAAAGCAGCAAUGCGCCGAAGGAGGGGCCCGCGCCCGAUUAGCUAGUUGGUGAGGUAAUGGCUCACCAAGGCUUUGAUCGGUAGCUGGUCUGAGAGGAUGAUCAGCCACACUGGAACUGAGACACGGUCCAGACUCCUACGGGAGGCAGCAGUGGGGAAUCUUGCACAAUGGGCGAAAGCCUGAUGCAGCGACGCCGCGUGGGGGAUGAAGCAUUUCGGUGUGUAAACCCCUUUCGAUCCGGACGAAACCCCGCAAGGGAUUGACGGUACGGAUAUAAGAAGCCCCGGCUAACUACGUGCCAGCAGCCGCGGUAAGACGUAGGGGGCCAGCGUUGUUCGGAAUUACUGGGUGUAAAGGGUUCGUAGGCGGUGCGGCAAGUUGGGAGUGAAAUCUCUGGGCUUAACCCAGAGGCUGCUUCCAAAACUGCUGUGCUUGAGUGUGGGAGAGGCGCGUGGAAUUGCAGGUGUAGCGGUGAAAUGCGUAGAUAUCUGCAGGAACACCCGUGGCGAAAGCGGCGCGCUGGACCACUACUGACGCUGAGGAACGAAAGCUAGGGGAGCAAACAGGAUUAGAUACCCUGGUAGUCCUAGCCCUAAACGAUCAGGACUUGGGGUGCCACCCGUUCGGGUGUCGUCCCGGAGCUAACGCGUUAAGUCCUGCACCUGGGGAGUACGGUCGCAAGACUGAAACUCAAAGGAAUUGACGGGGGCCCGCACAAGCGGUGGAACAUGUGGUUCAAUUCGACGCUACGCGAGGAACCUUACCUGGGCUCGAAA